AUGGCGUCAAGUCUUUACUACAAGAAUGUUCAGAAGGUGAGAAACAAGUGAAGAAAGUGAAGAGUAAAUAAUUCGUUUUGUGAAAUUGAAAUUUGAAUAUGACCACCCUUCAAAUUCAUUCAAGUAGUAUAUAUUUAAAUAAAUAUCAAAUAUAUACAUAGAAUAAUAUAGAAUUGCAUACAAAAAUAUUUAUCAGUCUCAAUAUAUAAAAAAAAAUUGUUUUAUUUGAAAUUUACUCAAAAUAGUAUAAAAAUGAUUUUUUUUUUUUU